rnacentral:rRNA from 1 species
UGUCUCGGCGGUUUUGUUAGUCUCUCGUUAAAUCUGCGGGCUUAACCUGCAGUCUGCGAGGGAAACGGCAGAACUAGAGGGCGCAAGAGGUGCACGGAACUCAUGGUGGAGGGGUGAAAUCCGUUGAUAUCAUGGGGAACACCGAAGGCGAAGGCAGUGCACUGGUGCGUUCCUGACGCUCAAACACGAAAGCCAGGGGAUCGAACG